rnacentral:rRNA from 1 species
UACGAAGGGGGCAAGCGUUAUUCGGAAUCAUUGGGCGUAAAGCGCGCGUAGGCGGUUUAGUAAGUCUGAUGUGAAAGCUCGAGGCUCAACCGCGAAGGGGCGUUUGAAACUGGUAGACUAGAGUGUAGGAGAGGAAAGGGGAAUUCCAGGUGUAGCGGUAAAAUGCGUAGAGAUAUGAAGGAACACCGGGGGCGAAGGCGACUGUCUGGAC